rnacentral:lncRNA from 1 species
AUGGUGCUGUGGCUCCACGGCCCAUCACUGGCCGGGCCGGUGGCCGGGUGCUGCAGUCCGCCGGGAGCAGGGGCGAAGCCGGGGGGCUCCGAGCAUGCGCGAGAAGAAAACGUGCUCCGUUUGCUGCUUGGCGUUGCUACAACCCUUGUGCGCUCUUCUCAGCUUUUAAUGAGCAGCUUUAUGAGGCUAAUUAGCAAUGGCUCAUUAUUUAUCAUGGCUAUUACCCAGACAGAGAGCCAGGAUUAUGUUCUGGAUUUGAACAAUGGGUUCAUCCUUUGCCAAACUGCCCCAAGAGCGAAAACAACCUUCUGCUUUCAAUGCACCAGUGUUUGUAAAGCUGCGCUUGUGCGCGAGGCCUCGAUGGAUCUUCUAGCGCUCCCUCGGUUAGGACCGGGGCAGCUCCGGGGCAGGCUGGCCGGCGUGGGGCUGGGUGCGACGGAGCUGGGAGGUGCCCGCCGCAGCGGCUGGCGUCCCCGCGCAGCAGCUUGGUGCCUUCUGCUCGCUUGCUGCUUCCGUGCUGAACGCGCGGGAAAGUGUCCGACCUCCUCGUUUCGCUGCGUUCGCACGCAGCGAGCCGGGUCGCCGUGCUGGGAAGCGAGGCAGCAGGCAGGCGGAGGAGCGCUGAGGGCCAGGACCGUGCYGGCGGUUGGCAGCGAGCGUCUGCCCCAGCCAGAGCCGGGUCCCCGGGAAGCCGCCCGGCAGCGCUGGGACGGCGGCUGCGCAAGCAGCGGUCUCAUGAGCGGGCGCCCGUCUGCACGUGUUCACUCAGGCGCCCUAAUCCCAGCGCCUGGCUCGGGCGCUGCCUCCCGCGCUGCCGGACACCUCGGCUCCCUGGGCGCUGAGGGGCUGCAGCCGGCUCCGCGCCGAGGAAAUCGGCUUUCCCCGGCUGCUCUGUUCGUGCUGUUCCCUCUCUUCUUCCCCUCGGCAUCGUUUUGUAGCAGCUCAGAGAAGCUGGAGAAACAGCGUAGCCRAGGAGCUGAACACCUGGGAGCGCUGCGUCCCUCUGCAAAGCCAUGUCGUCUUCCCUGCUCCGUGAAUCCGGUCGCGGCCACGGAGGGAGCGAUGGCAACGGGCUGUGCCUCCUCCUCGAGGCGGUUUGCAAAGCCUCUUGCCUUGAAAGYGUUGCCCAAACCUCCCGCGUUGCUGCGAGCUAUCGAUGCGUGA